AUGGUUUUGUUUUACCUCACCAUUUUGGCACUUCUUACAGAGAGUGUUUUUGCAAAUGCAAUAACACACAUCUCUACUGAAAAUCAUGCUUUCGAAGGAGGAAAAGUGACUAUUUCAUGCAACUACAGUGGAAAUGAUAUAAGAAGUUGGCAGUGGUACAAACAGUAUCCCUACUCUGCCCCUGAAUUUCUCUUGCAAGCUUUGGAAACUCUGGGUCCAGAGCAGAAGGACCGUUAUGUUGCUGAAGCACAAAAGGACAAAAAACUACUGAACUUUGAGAUCUCCAAAACUGAAGUGUCAGAUGCUGCAGUAUACUACUGUGCCCUGGUGCCCACAGUAACAAGAAACCCUUCAACACUCGGCAAUGUAGAUAAUCUGCUGUGGUAUCGCCAAUAUCCUGGAUCUCAACCAGAGUAUCUCAUUCUCGUCACAGAAUAUUCAGAACCUGAUCUUUCACUUCGUCUGUCAGCAAAAGCUUCAAAAGACCUAAAACAAGUGAAUCUUACAAUCUCCUCUGCAUCUAUAUCAGACUCUGCUCUGUACUACUGCGCCCUGAAGCCCACAGUGACAGGAAACACAAGAACACUGUACAAAAACCUGACAUAA